GACGAACGCUGGCGGCGUGCUUAACACAUGCAAGUCGAACGGAAAGGCCCUGCUUUUGUGGGGUGCUCGAGUGGCGAACGGGUGAGUGACACGUGAGUAACCUGCCCUUGACUUUGGGAUAACUUCAGGAAACUGGGGCUAAUACCGGAUAGGAGCUCCUGCUGCAUGGUGGGGGUUGGAAAGUUUCGGCGGUUGGGGAUGGACUCGCGGCUUAUCAGCUUGUUGGUGGGGUAGUGGCUUACCAAGGCUUUGACGGGUAGCCGGCCUGAGAGGGUGACCGGCCACAUUGGGACUGAGAUACGGCCCAGACUCCUACGGGAGGCAGCAGUGGGGAAUAUUGCACAAUGGGCGGAAGCCUGAUGCAGCAACGCCGCGUGCGGGAUGACGGCCUUCGGGUUGUAAACCGCUUUCGCCUGUGACGAAGCGUGAGCGACGGUAAUGGGUAAAGAAGCACCGGCUAACUACGU
rnacentral:rRNA from 1 species